UGCUGCUAAUACUGCAAGUCGAGCGGUCCCUUCGGGGAUUGCGGCGGACGGGUGAGUAACACGUAAGCAACCUGCCUGUAAGAUCGGGAUAACUAUCGGAAACGAUAGCUAAGACCGGAUAGCUGGUUUUCUCGCAUGAGAGAAUCAUGAAACACGGGGCAACCUGUGGCUUACAGAUGGGCCUGCGGCGCAUUAGCUAGUUGGUAGGGUAACGGCCUACCAAGGCGACGAUGCGUAGCCGACCUGAGAGGGUGAACGGCCACACUGGGACUGAGACACGGCCCAGACUCCUACGGGAGGCAGCAGUAGGGAAUCUUCCGCAAUGGACGCAAGUCUGACGGAGCAACGCCGCGUGAGUGAUGAAGGUUUUCGGAUCGUAAAGCUCUGUUGCCCUAGACGAACAGCAAGGCAAGUAACUGCGCUUUGUGUGACGGUAUAGGAGAAGAAAGCCCCGGCUAACUACGUGCCAGCAGCCGCGGUAAUACGUAGGGGGCAAGCGUUGUCCGGAAUUAUUGGGCGUAAAGCGCGCGCAAGCGGUUAAUUAAGUUUGGUGUUUAAGCCCGGAGCUCAACCCCGGUUCGCAUCGAAAACUGGUUGACUUGAGUGUANGAGAAGAAAGUGGAAUUCCACGUGUAGCGGUGAAAUGCGUAGAGAUGUGGAGGAACACCAGUGGCGAAAGCGACUUUCUAGCCUAUAACUGACGCUGAAGCGCGAAAACGUGGGGAGCAAACAGGGAUAGAUCCCCUGGUAGUCCACGCCGGUAAACAAGAGUGCUAAGUGUUAGGGGGUUUCGAUGCCCUUGGGGGCCAAAUUAACACAUUAAGCACUCCGCCUCGGGAAGUACCCCGCAAGAUGGAAACUCCAGGAAUUGGCCGGGACCCGCACAAACAGUGGAAUUAUGUGGUCAAUUUCCAAACCAACGCCAAUAAACCUUACCAGGUCUUUGACUUCGGGUGAAAAGCC
rnacentral:rRNA from 1 species